GUCUAUUAAUACAAGAGCGCCGAAAUUUUAAAUAAUUUCCAAAAGUCUUUUUUUAUCGUUAGGUACAAUCUUGGAAAUAAGCCUUAACUGAAACCAUUCCAACCUAUUUUGCAAAGUUAAACUGACAAAACAAACUUAGUCACCCCCUCUUCCCUAGUUCUAGGAAUAGUUAGAGCAUGGUACUCAUAUAGAUUCAUGUCUCACUGUUUAUGAGUUUUGUCCACUGUAUCACAACCCUGACCCUUAUCCCUAACCGCUGACCCUAAUUCAAAAUUUUCAAAACAUACAUUUAGACAUUUUGAAAACGUACCAUAUUCCUUCCUAUUCACUUGGCAAUGUUCCCCGCUCUUCCCUUUCCUCUUUUUUUUUUAGGUACAAUUGUCCAAUUUUUAAGUGCCGAAUCUGCUUUACGUACAAGGCAAACCGCCCGAUACCACCUAUGGGCUAUGGGCAUUCAGAUGAACUAUAUUCAUGCAUUAUAUGAUAACUUAACUUGAUCACUACACAAAAAUUACUAUAACGUAUGUGUCACACCAUUAAAAGUAAUCAUGAAUUAAAUACAACUUACUUUAACAAACUUGGAUGGCUGAAGUUCGACCCCCAAUUCAACAUCGAAUCAACGAUUCGAAUCCGCACAAUCUCAGAAUUAACCGCUGAGAGCAAAAUUCAAGUCCACAUGUCUCGCGGCUUAUAAACAGUUGAACAUUACCAUGACUCUUCUAUACAAUGGCAUGUUUCAACUCUGUUUUAGAUCAUUGAGAAAGUCUGUAUACUUUAAAGAGUUGAAAGUGCGGAUAAACAAACUAAACUGUUUAUAUUUUAAGUUCUCACUAUCAUGCUGGGACGCGACUAUUGUUCCCCACAUUGACCUACACC